rnacentral:rRNA from 1 species
UACGUAGGGUGCGAGCGUUAAUCGGAAUUACUGGGCGUAAAGGGUGCGCAGGCGGUUUUGUAAGCCAGAUGUGAAAUCCCCGGGCUUAACCUGGGAAUGGCAUUUGGGACUGCAAGGCUUGAGUGCGGCAGAGGAGACUGGAAUUCCUGGUGUAGCGGUGAAAUGCGCAGAUAUCAGGAAGAACACCCGUGGCGAAGGCGGCUCUCUGGGACGGUACUGACGCUGAGACGCGAAAGCGUGGGGAGCGAACAGG